rnacentral:lncRNA from 1 species
GUAAAGCCAACUGAAGAGAAAAAUAAAAAUGAGGCUAAACCGGUGAUUAAGUUACCUUACCCUCAGAGAGUGACAAAGAAGGAUCCAAAAGAGGAAGACUUUGAGAAAUUCAUCACAAUGUUCAAAAAGUUAGAGAUCAAUAUGCCUUUCUUUGAAGCACUCGAGCAAAUGCACAUGUACCAAAAAUUCAUGAAAUAGAUAAUCUUUAAAAAGAGACCAAUAGGAG